rnacentral:rRNA from 1 species
AGAGUUUGAUAUGGCUCAGGAUGAACGCUAGCGAUAGGCCUAACACAUGCAAGUCGAGGGGCAGCACAUGAGUAGCAAUACGAUGGUGGCGACCGGCGCACGGGUGAGUAACACGUAUGCAACCUACCUUUAACAGGGGAAUAACCCGUUGAAAAACGGACUAAUACUCCAUAACACAGGGGUCCCGCAUGGGAAUAUUUGUUAAAGAUUAAUCGGUUGAAGAUGGGCAUGCGUUCCAUUAGCUUGUUGGUGAGGUAACGGCUCACCAAGGCCACGAUGGAUAGGGGAACUGAGAGGUUUAUCCCCCCACACUGGAACUGAGACACGGUCCAGACUCCUACGGGAGGCAGCAGUGAGGAAUAUUGGUCAAUGGAGGCAACUCUGAACCAGCCAAGUCGCGUGAAGGAUGAAGGUCUUAUGGAUUGUAAACUUCUUUUGCAAGGGAAUAAAGUGGGGGACGUGUCCUCCUUUGCAUGUACCUUGCGAAUAAGGAUCGGCUAACUCCGUGCCAGCCGCUGC